rnacentral:rRNA from 1 species
CAUAAAAUAAAACAUUUACAAAAUAGAAGUAUUGGAGAAAGAAACUUUUCACAGGAGCUAUAGAGAUCAGUACCGCAAGGGAAAAUAAAUUCAAAACAUAAGCACAAAUAAGCAAAGAUUAAACCUUGUACCUUUUGCAUAAUGAAUUAACUAGAAACUUCCUAACUAAGAGAACUUUAGCUAGAAACCCCGAAACCAAACGAGCUACCUAAAAGCAAUUUUUAGAAUGAACCCAUCUAUGUAGCAAAAUAGUGGGAAGACUCUUAGGUAGAGGCGAAAAACCUACCGAGCUUGGUGAUAGCUGGUUACCCAAUUAUGAAUUUAAGUUCAACUUUAAGAUUACUAUAAGAAUAAAAAUCUAAACGUAAACUUAAAACAUAGCCUAAAGAGGGACAGCUCUUUAGGAACGGAAAAACCUUAAAUAGUGAGUAAGCCAAACACUAAAAAACCAUCGUUGGCCUAAAAGCAGCCACCAAUAAAGAAAGCGUUCAAGCUCAACACUCCAAACACAAAAAUACCAAAAUUAUUAAGCAAACUCCUACUAAACAAAAUUGGGUUAAUCUAUUAAUAUAUAGAUGAAAUACUGUUAAUAUGAGUAACAAGAAUUUUAUUCUCCAUGCACAAAACUAUAACAACCCGGAUAACCAUUGUUAGUUAACAACCACAAGGUAACUACUCUUCACAUAAAAUUUACCUACCAAAACAUGUUAACCCAACACAGGGGUGCAUAAUGGAAAGAUUAAAAGAAAUAAAAGGAACUCGGCAAACAUAAACCCCGCCUGUUUACCAAAAACAUCACCUCUAGCAUAAUAAGUAUUAGAGGCACUGCCUGCCCAGUGACUAACGUUUAACGGCCGCGGUAUCCUGACCGUGCAAAGGUAGCAUAAUCACUUGUUCCUUAAUUAGGGACUAGAAUGAACGGCUUAACGAGGGUCUAACUGUCUCUUAUUUCCAAUCAGUGAAAUUGACCUCCCCGUGAAGAGGCGGGGAUACAAAAACAAGACGAGAAGACCCUAUGGAGCUUUAAUUUACCAACUUAAAUUUAUGUAAUAAACACUCCUACUGGAUUAAACACAAAAAAAUUAAGUUCAAAUUUUGGUUGGGGUGACCUCGGAGAAUAAAAAAACCUCCGAACGAUUUUAGUUACGACAAACAAGUCUAAACAACUUUAAUCUAAUUGACCCAAAACUUCUUUGAUCAACGGACCAAGUUACCCUAGGGAUAACAGCGCAAUCCUAUUCAAGAGUCCAUAUCGACAAUUAGGGUUUACGACCUCGAUGUUGGAUCAGGACAUCCCAAUGGUGUAGAAGCUAUUAAUGGUUCGUUUGUUCAACGAUUAAAGUCCUACGUGAUCUGAGUUCAGACCGGAGCAAUCCAGGUCGGUUUCUAUCUGUUAACGAUUUCUCCCAGUACGAAAGGAUAAGAGAAAUAGAGCCCCCUUUAACAAAGAGCUCUAAAACUAACCAAUGAAAUUAUCUCAACACUGUAAAUUCGUAAAAUCCUGC